GGGGAAUAUUGGACAAUGGACGAAAGUCUGAUCCAGCGACGCCGCGUGGAGGAAGAAGUCCUUCGGGAUGUAAACUCAUGAAGCUAACGAAUAAGACGGAAGGGGAACCUUCCGGGAGAAGGUAAUAAGUGAAAAGCCCGGCCAAACAAGGGCCAGCAGCCGCGGUAAUACGUAGGGGGCGAGCGUUGCCCGGAAUUACUGGGCGUAAAGGGAACGUAGGUGGCUCUUAAAGUCAGGUGUGAAAAUAACGAAGCUUAACAGGUUAAUGCGCUUGAAACUAAAGGGCUUGAGGGCAAUAGAGGGAGAUGGAAUUACCUGUGUAGGGGUGAAAUCCGCAGAUAUAGGUAAGAAGGCCGGUGGGGAAGCCGAUCUCCUGGGUUGACUCUGACACUGAGGUUCGAAAGCUAGGGGAGCAAACC
rnacentral:rRNA from 1 species